UACGGAGGGUGCAAGCGUUGUUCGGAAUUACUGGGCGUAAAGAGCGCGCAGGUGGUUGAUUAAGUCUGAUGUGAAAGCCCACGGCUUAACCGUGGAGGGUCAUUGGAAACUGGUCGACUUGAGUGCAGAAGAGGGAAGUGGAAUUCCAUGUGUAGCGGUGAAAUGCGUAGAGAUAUGGAGGAACACCAGUGGCGAAGGCGGCUUCCUGGUCUGUAACUGACACUGAGGCGCGAAAGCGUGGGGAGCAAACAGGAUUAGAUACCCU
rnacentral:rRNA from 1 species